rnacentral:rRNA from 1 species
CACUCCAACCCCUGUGACAUACCACUUGUUGCCUCGGCGGAUCAGCCCGCUCCCGGUAAAACGGGACGGCCCGCCAGAGGACCCCUAAACUCUGUUUCUAUAUGUAACUUCUGAGUAAAACCAUAAAUAAAUCAAAACUUUCAACAACGGAUCUCUUGGUUCUGGCAUCGAUGAAGAACGCAGCAAAAUGCGAUAAGUAAUGUGAAUUGCAGAAUUCAGUGAAUCAUCGAAUCUUUGAACGCACAUUGCGCCCGCCAGUAUUCUGGCGGGCAUGCCUGUUCGAGCGUCAUUUCAACCCUCAAGCACAGCUUGGUGUUGGGACUCGCGUUAAUUCGCGUUCCUCAAAUUGAUUGGCGGUCACGUCGAGCUUCCAUAGCGUAGUAGUAAAACCCUCGUUACUGGUAAUCGUCGCGGCCACGCCGUUAAACCCCAACUUCUGAAUGUUGACCUCGGAUCAGGUAGGAAUACCCGCUGAACUUAAGCAUAUCAAUAGGCGGAGGAA